rnacentral:rRNA from 1 species
GACGAACGCUGGCGGCGCGCCUAACACAUGCAAGUCGAACGAGCGAGAGAGAGCUUGCUUUCUCGAGCGAGUGGCGAACGGGUGAGUAACGCGUGAGGAACCUGCCUCAAAGAGGGGGACAACAGUUGGAAACGACUGCUAAUACCGCAUAAGCCCACGGCUCGGCAUCGAGCAGGGGGAAAAGGAGCAAUCCGCUUUGAGAUGGCCUCGCGUCCGAUUAGCUAGUUGGUGAGGUAAUGGCCCACCAAGGCGACGAUCGGUAGCCGGACUGAGAGGUUGAACGGCCACAUUGGGACUGAGACACGGCCCAGACUCCUACGGGAGGCAGCAGUGGGGAAUAUUGCACAAUGGGGGAAACCCUGAUGCGGCGACGCCGCGUGGAGGAAGAAGGUCUUCGGAUUGUAAACUCCUGUUGUUGGGGAAGAUAAUGACGGUACCCAACAAGGAAGUGACGGCUAACUACGUGCCAGCAGCCGCGGUAAAACGUAGGUCACAAGCGUUGUCCGGAAUUACUGGGUGUAAAGGGAGCGCAGGCGGGAAGACAAGUUGGAAGUGAAAUCUAUGGGCUCAACCCAUAAACUGCUUUCAAAACUGUUUUUCUUGAGUAGUGCAGAGGUAGGCGGAAUUCCCGGUGUAGCGGUGGAAUGCGUAGAUAUCGGGAGGAACACCAGUGGCGAAGGCGGCCUACUGGGCACCAACUGACGCUGAGGCUCGAAAGUGUGGGUAGCAAACAA